rnacentral:rRNA from 1 species
AAUAGAUACCCUGGUAGUCCACGCCGUAAACGUUGGGCGCUAGAUGUGGGGACCAUUCCACGGUUUCCGUGUCGCAGCUAACGCAUUAAGCGCCCCGCCUGGGGAGUACGGCCGCAAGGCUAAAACUCAAAGGAAUUGACGGGGGCCCGCACAAGCGGCGGAGCAUGCGGAUUAAUUCGAUGCAACGCGAAGAACCUUACCAAGGCUUGACAUAUACGAGAACGCUCUAGAAAUAGAGAACUCUUUGGACACUCGUAUACAGGUGGUGCAUGGUUGUCGUCAGCUCGUGUCGUGAGAUGUUGGGUUAAGUCCCGCAACGAGCGCAACCCUCGUUCUAUGUUGCCAGCGGUUCGGCCGGGAACUCAUAGGAGACUGCCGGGGUCAACUCGGAGGAAGGUGGGGAUGACGUCAAAUCAUCAUGCCCCUUAUGUCUUGGGCUUCACGCAUGCUACAAUGGCCGGUACAAAGGGCUGCAAUACCGCAAGGUGGAGCGAAUCCCAAAAAGCCGGUCUCAGUUCGGAUUGAGGUCUGCAACUCG